rnacentral:tRNA from 1 species
UGCUGGGUGGCCGAGGGCUUAGGCAGCGAGCUUUUAACUCGCCAACGACCAAAAGUGGUCCCCAGCAA